rnacentral:lncRNA from 1 species
CAGGCUGGGAGUGCCCGCCUCGAGGUCUCCUUACUUACCCACCACGGUACCCUGGCCAGGGCCGUCUGAGGUGGCUCCUGUUAUCGUGGCUGCUUUUGAGGAUCAUGGUUAAGACCACCGGACCGACGGUCAAGCCGGUUGUAAAUACCCUUCUUUCCAUGUUCUUCAGGGACACCAGCCCCAGCGACGACCUUGGACGAUUUCAACGCGCAGGCACCUCGAUCCCCCGAAUUCUUGGUGUGGCCGGUAUCACUGUUCCCCUGGUUUAACUAGCCUGUUUGGUAAGUAACUGAAUAUUUUUUACAGCGUGUUCAGAGCUUAUUUUCCAGUUUUUAUGAACAAACAUAUAAAUAUAUCUCUGCAUUCCUGACUCUCCCAUAAAAGCGGGCAUCUGUGGAAAGCAGGUUUAGUUAUCGGAGGGGAACCAUUAAACAGCAGUUUAAGAGGCAGAGCGGGAGGACGGCUCGUGGAUGUUUAGACUGCUGGCCUUAGUGAUCUUGAACGCAUUAUAACGGAAAAUGGAUCUCCAUUUGUAAGUCAGCGGGCCGCGCGGGGCACCAGGGCCGCGGCGCCCGCGUGGCGUGAGCAUCUUGAGGAAGCUGGAGAGAGGCUGGGGCGGGGAUGGACAGGGGCAGGAGCUGAAACAUCCUCAGGACUUGGUUGGGAGUCGCAAAGGGAGCCGGCUAUGCAGCUCAGGAUUCGGCCCGAAGGAGUUUGGUGUGGAAAAGGGUGUCAACCAGGACCCCACGCGGCCGUAAAUUAGAGGAAGCCCAAGGCAGGGUGCACAGAAGCGUGGGCCGGCCAGGGCGGCCUGGGACUCGCCACUGGGCCUGGCUGGGGUCACCCAGGGGAGACCUUUAACUCCACCUUGGAUAUUGUACUUUGGAAGCAGGCAGAGUCAGGCCCCAGGCCGCCAAGGGAGCCCCACCCCACAAAGGGAGCCCCACCCCAAGGACUCGGAAGGGACAGUCCAUUCCUUUCCCGCUGGGCGCUUUCGGCGGAGUCCGCGGUUGGGGAUGGAAAGCGAGGUCAGUGCUAAUGGCGGGGGGGGGGGGGGGGGGGGCGGGAGGGGUGGUGGGGGCGCCCACCUCCUGAGCUGCGGGGGAUGCAGGGCCGGCUCCCUCGGCCUUUGCAGCCCUGGGCAGCAGCGUGGAGAAAUACUGUUCAGAUAUUUCCGUGGCUGGGCGUUAGGACAGGGGAAGAUCCUCGGAGAGGGGCUAGGAAACCCAGUGUGGGAGUGAAGUGUCCGUUCGGGCCCUUUCCCUCCCCUCUGCAAGGGGUCAAUUUCCCUGGAUGCCCCCAGCAUAGCAUUUUAAGGCAGAGAGCAGGGGGUGGGGAGAAGCUGAAAUCAGAUUUGUUGGUAAAGUGCCACUUGGCGCAUGGAUCAAAAUAGCGAGCUAGAAGCCCUCGACCCCCCAACUUGGAUGGGUCUGAGAUUUUAGCACAAGCAGGGUGUUUUAAAGACCUUGUUCUUCAAGGAAAGAAUAUAGGUAGUGUGAUGGGGUUCUGUUUACAUUUUCACCAGGGAGGCAAACCCUGAAUGUGUAAAUACUGGUAGUUCAAUCCUCUGACAUGUGAUACUUUUUUUUUUUUUUAAGUCUGUUUAUAAGAACACAUCCAGGCCCUGGAAGCAGGUAGAAAAAGCAUGAUGGUGGCACCCAGGCUAGCAACAGAUAACUGCUCAGGGAAAGAAGUUGGUAGACUGCUUUCAGACCCAGAGGGAGUUUUGGGAACUGAAAGGAAGAAUGGCUGAGUUGGGGACUGGGAUGCCCUGUCCAUCAGAGGUGAGUGGCCUCAGUGUCGAAGCCAUCAGAAUUGGCCACUUUCAGCCUUCUCAUGCUCUUUUAAUUGAAACCAAAAAUGGGCAAAUCUCCUCAUGGCCCCAGAUAUCACGGCAAGUGAUAAAAGAGACGGAGAACACGGGACAGAAAAGAAAAAAAAAAAGUCGUAAAAGAUGCUAAUCUGAGCAUCAGUCCUCACUGACAGUGUCAUUAUCAGUUAAUUAAUGCUGUGCAACAGUCUGGGGCUUCAUGUAGCUCAGAGAGCCAGACCCAGAGACUACAUACAGUCUCAGAAAGGCAAUUUGUAGGCAGGGGACAAAUGGGUGAACUCCAGCGUCCUUAACUGUAGUUAUUAACUCGCAGAGACCAGACUGGCUGAGGGCCAUUCCCAAUUCACAACCAAACGAGUCCUCUUUUUUCUCAUAGAGUCCUCUUUUGUACCUUUUGCUGCGGGUCUAGUGGGGGUGCUGGGUUAGUCUGCUGCUUUGGAAAGCUGUGAGGCAGAUCCACCUCAAGUUCAAGUUUGCCCCCUCCCCCCCCCCAGUUUAGACGAUUAGACAGUCUUUGCUUUCUGGUGGUAGUGAGGGAGGGGGGAGAGUGAUGGAGGAGAACAGUGGGAAAAGAAAGGGAGGAGGGUGAAUUUCCCAGCUGAGAUGUCAGCCAGGGACUGCACUACUGUGCACGCUGCUGAGCUGUCCCCCUAAGGGCACAAGUUCCAGUACUCAAAGGGCGCAAGCAUCUGAGAUGCUGCAGGCUGUUGGCCACCCUGGGUGCCCGCAGGAGGAUUCCUAGUGAGGGUGUACUAACUUGCCUCUCCUUUUCUGAGGCCAUGGGCUGAGCUGCAACCAGUCUUACCCAGGUGGGCAGCCCCCCGUUUGGAGACAUGCUGUGAUUCCUUGUCCAGUCUCCACUGUAGCUGAUGGUCUACCCCUGUACCGCGCGAUACGUCCGCCUCCAGCUAAACAGACAGAACCGGGUUCAACAAUUUGUUUUGCGCCCCUGUCUCUUGGCUCUUUCCCUUCACUCCCACCCCUUCCUCUGGAAAAGACUCAAAGAGCCUGGGAGAAGCUGAGAACUAACUCCCUUGCAAACGUUUUGGUCUUGUGAGAUAUUCCUUUUAAAAUCAAUCUGCUUUAAACUAAAUAUUUUUUUUAAAAACUUCAGUCUGUUUUUAGGGAAAAUACAGAUCUCUCGGAGGUAUUUAUUAUUACAAAGGCAAGGGCAGUUUGUAUCUUAUGUUUUGCUCAUGAGAACUCAAAAUAAACUGGACCUGAAAAGAACCAGGCCAGAGGGCCAUAAACACACAUUUUAUGUUUACGGGAAUUAUGGCUCAAUUCCCUUCAUCGUUUUUCAAAUCUCGUUUUACCUUAUUUUCCUGACCAACAUAGUUGGAGCAAUGGGGCAUUCCUUUAAAUAUCUAUAACGCUCUUAUAUAAGGUGAACCCCAGAAAGUGCCGAGAACUCCAGAAAGAACACCAGACCCAGAAGAUGGCAGAAAAAGAAAUGUGUUCUCGGGGAAGUAACCUCAGCCUCACCUGUUCCAAGGAAGUUGUUUCUUAGGACACCCUGAUGGCUUUGCAUUUUGUCUGAAUAAGGGUGGGAUUGAGUCAUUUUAUAGGCUAGCCACUUGGUCUUAGAACCUUCAGGACAUGAAGAAUAAGGCAUACUGUCUGAGUGGCGGCAAAGGAUCUCCCAACUCGGGUUCCAUAGUCCCUCCCUUUCUGGUUUGCCUUUUGGGAAAUGGUUGUCUACAGACAUGGCAAGUGACAGUGACUCCAGAAAUGUGGGGGUGCUCAGAGGAUACUUCUACAAUGCAGGAUCACGUUCGAUUGGACUCUUAUAUCUGUUUCACAAGAAGUUGCCCAUGGCUCUUAUGAGAUUUUAUUUGUUCUGAGCACUUUCUUUUUGCAUUUUGGGGUGGGGUGGGGUAUUUGGGGAGUGAUUCCUCUCCCCUCUUCUUUCCAGAGCAGAUCUGUGGAGAUGGGGGGGGGAGGGGCUGAUUCAGCUGCAAUGGAGGAGGGGCUGAUUGCUUACGACUCCCUUCAGUCCAGUGUUUUUGUUUUUGUUUUUGUUUUCAGUCCAGUUUUGAUUAGGAAACAUUUAAGUCAGUGGAGAAAAUGGGACUUGUUUGAUGCCUCCCCUCCAUUUAGCCUUUCUUUCAUAUUCCCUUCUUCCCUGCCAGCCCUUUCCUCUUUCUCUCUCUCCCUCCUUCCCUCCUCCUCUCUACCCCCCCCCCCCACCCCUUCAAAUUUGCCUUUGAGCAGUGCUUGGAUUUCUGAGGUUUCUGAUCCCUUCAGGUCAUUGAACCUGAAACUGGUGAAGAAUAAGAUACUGGCUUCUCCUUUAGUCCUUUAAGAAAAAUAAGUAUUUUUGUAAAACACUGAGAUGUAAUUGACAAAUAACGCUGUGUAAGUCUAAGACGUACAAUGUGCAAGAAAAAUGUCACUGUCCAGUCUUACAGGUAGUGGGAAUUUGCAUUUUCUUCAAACGGUCCCUGACGAGAUCUUCAUAUUAACUGGCAGAUGGGCUGCUGCUGUGGGAGGUUUUCACUGAUACCUGGCCAGUUAUUCAAGUUAAAAUACUUAUUCCGACAAAAGGGAACAAAAGAGAAUGCACCUGAAAGGGCCUCCCUAGAGGCAGCAAGAUGUGUAUAUAGGAGGUGCUAUUGAUGUUGUUAUAAGAGGUAAGGUAGAUCUGAUCAUUGCUGCUUUCUAGUAAAGCAUAGAUAGUUUAGAGCACCAGUGGUGUGAGAAAAUACAUGCCACAGGAUUUCUCCUAACUGCUUUGUUUCAAGCAAAUUACAUACACACUGGCAAUAUUUUCUUCCAAGCUAGAAGGAAAGCACUCCACAUUCAGAUGACGAGGAAGCAAUUGUAUUGCAUCCACGGUCUAUGGGAAAAUAAGCAGUCGUUAACUUCAACUAGUCUGCAGGAGGGUUCAGAAUGAAAUACAAAAGCGAAUGGCAACUUAAAAUGUGGAGCUUUGGACAAGCCAUUUAAGUGAGCGAAGGUUUUGUCUGUGACUGGAGGCCCCAUGCAUUCCCAGUUGUAACUGCGGUGUAGCGAGAAUUCUUAGGAAGUCCUGUUCGGAAGCUUCCUUUGCAAAUUCAUGUCGUUUUUUUUUUUUUUUUGUUGUUGUUGUUGUUUGUUUGUUUUGUUUUGUUUUUAGCCCUGGCAGUUUCUUGCAACCCUUUUCUACUUUAUUCUAGGGCCUUUGCUUCUAGACAAGGGACUUGAGCCAGGAUGGUUAGGUUUCAGGUUAACAAAAAGAAACCCUUUUAUUGUCAAUAUUAAUGGCAAACCUCGAUUUUUACAAGGUUUAGGUUUAGCGGCACGAGCAGAUCAAAAGCAGCUUGGCUUGAUUUCUCAAUAUUCUCCGGAGCUUAGACAAUUAGCUGCAAUUUUGCGUCGAACGAAACAACACAAAAAUGUUAGUUACCAAAAUGUUAAAGUUAGUCUUUCGGCAAGGAUUUUACCUGUGCACAACGUGUCAGAAGCUAAUAAAUUCGUCCACUGAACCUGAGUUGAGUUUUGAAGGAAACGCCUUUAACAAAAUGUGUGAGCACACUGUCUUCAUUUGCAAUGCCACGGAGACCUGUUUCAGCUGUGUGCAUUCCACACUUGCCUUUCUGGCUGGGUAAGGAUCCGGCAGACUGAGGUCUCUCUGGUAAUUUGGGUACACCGAGUCUCCAGUUAAUGAUAGAUAAUCAGCCUUUGGGUCAUUCGGUCAUUCUCUUAUUACAAACCCCUCCUGCUCUCUCUGAUCUCCUUUCAAACUAAAUUUCACACAAACAAAUAAAGCAAGACAGGGACAAGUUCCUUAAAAAAAAAAAAAAGGAGGGAGAAAUAUUAGAAACUCCUGAUACAGAACUCUAAACAAGGAAAGGCAAGCUAAAAGAGGAUAGGAAAGAACAUCUUAUCAAAAUGAACAUGCUGUGUACAAAACAUUAGAAGAGAAGGCUCUGGUUUCUGUUAAAGUGACAGAAAAUUAAAAUAAAAAUAAUUGCAGGCAGAGAAGUUAUAAUAUAAACAGAGAAGGCAGGAUGCUUGCUGGAAAUGCGCAGCACGAGGAGGCUAAUUUGUUGUUACAGAUUAUAUAUCUGCACCCGUGAUAGGAGAGGCGCUACUUUGUUCUAUUUUCCAGAAAAGAAUGGCUUUCUUCUUAGUACUUGUGUGAGUGCUCACUUAACACAGGCCAAAACCUCGAGGAACAAAAAAUGGAAUUGCAUUCUGCUUGCGAAGCAUCCAACUUCAAAAGAAGGAAUUGGUUGCAUACAAAAAAAAAAAAAAAGCAUUCCAUUCAAAACACAUUUAGAGGGUUCACUAAAUUGGUAUGACUGAUGCUUUUUUGUUUUGCUGACAGAAGGUGCAGAUCAUUCUCGGGGAAGUCCAACCGAAACCAGCCCUCCCCUGCCCUCUGGAGUCUUCGUUUUCCAGCCUACAUCUGCUUGUGACUCCAGAAAGAGACUCCAGAUUGGCCAAGGUACAU